GCCUUCUUAGCUCAGUGGUAGAGCGCGCCACUCGUACUUCGGUGUGAUGGUGAGGUCGGUUGUUCAAUCCAGCCAGGAGGCA